GAUUCAGUUUGUGGUGAAGAAUUUUUUCUCCAUCAACAAAAAGUGCAAAUUUCGAAUAUUUGUAAUAUAGAGAAAUGUAAUCAAUUUGUUUCGUAUUGCAGAUGGAGAAUGCAUUUUUGAAACAGCUAAGUGUUUUUUUGAGGAAAUGAAAGAAGAGACAAUCUAUAAGGCCACAGAGUCGUUUGAUGAGGCAAAGAAGCUCAAUCAAAGUGGAUUUGACACAAUUUAUGAGCCCUCUUGAAUAGAGUAUUUGAUUAUGAUGAGUGGCAACCUUGAUGCCCUAUUCUCAAAUAGUCACAAUGGAGUUUGUUGGAAUUUAUAUCUUGAUUCUUAUCAAAUGUAUGUGAUCAUUUUAGCCUUUGUCAUACUUUCAAUGGUUUGGCUUAAAAAUCUCGAUUUACUAUCUACUAUUUGAUCUCUUUUACCUUAUAUUGUCGAGAAUUAGAUCCAAGAUUGAUUUGUACUAGCGUGUUGAAAUCUGAUAGUUAUAUAUAAUUGGUGUA